GACGAACGCUGGCGGCGUGCCUAAUACAUGCGAGUAGAACGCUGAAGGAGGAGCUUGCUUCUCUGGAUGAGUUGCGAACGGGUGAGUAACGCGUAGGUAACCUGCCUGGUAGCGGGGGAUAACUAUUGGAAACGAUAGCUAAUACCGCAUAAUAGUAGAUGUUGCAUGACAUUUGCCUAAAAGGUGCAAUUGCAUCACUACCAGAUGGACCUGCGUUGUAUUAGCUAGUUGGUGGGGUAACGGCUCACCAAGGCGACGAUACAUAGCCGACCUGAGAGGGGGAUCGGCCACACUGGGACUGAGACACGGCCCAGACUCCUACGGGAGGCAGCAGUAGGGAAUCUUCGGCAAUGGACGGAAGUCUGACCGAGCAACGCCGCGUGAGUGAAGAAGGGUUUCGGAUCGUAAAGCUCUGUUGUAAGAGAAGAACGAGUGUGAGAGUGGAAAGUUCACACUGUGACGGUAUCUUACCAGAAAGGGACGGCUAACUACGUG
rnacentral:rRNA from 1 species